GCUAAGCUCUGCAAAAAUGGCGAAUGACUGGAGAAUAAGAGUUUUCCAGUGAGUUUCAUCGGCAAACAGAUCCGUUCAAAUUAACUAUAGUGGUGUUUUUGUGAAGAUUAACAAGCUUAAACUAGUAACUGGUAGUUGAAUUCGAGUGAUUUUCUUACAAGAAGAAGACACAAUUUUCGCAAGCAUCAUGAGUGACAAUGGGUUGAGGUGGAGUUCAAUUGGUGGUUGAACUAAUGGAUUUCUGAAAAGAUUAUGGGAUAAUCAUAGAAUGGUGUUGGUGGUAAGAAGAAGUUGUUACUGCAAUGGACAUGUGCAGUUUCAGAUGGGUUUGUUUGAGAUCAGACUGAAAUUAUGAAGAAGGGGUACGAGUUCAUGGAAAAGAUAGAUGCGGUUGCAAGGUGUAUGUUAGAUUUUGCCAGUAGGAAUUGAUAAAAUUAUAAUCUAAAAGGGUAUGUUAGAUUUUGACUUUUGAUUUUUGGUAAGUUCAAUUUGAUUAUACAGUAGUAUUGAGGUUCAAUUUGAUGCUGGAAAAUGGAGUUUUCAUUUGAAUUCAUGUUUACAGUUCUUGUUAUUUUAUCAAGUUUUGACAGGAAAUUUUAUUUGAAAUCGAUUAUAGCCUUCAUUUUGAUUAUAUGAGAAUACAAACAUUUUUAUUGGUUUCGAUGUGUAAGGUGUUCAAUUUUGAUAGUGGUGGUGCAAAAUUGAGGUUGCUGAGAAUACAAACAUUUUUAUUGGUUUCGAUUUGUAAAGUGUUCAAUUUUGAUAGUGGGGGUGCAACAUUGAGGUUGCUGAGUAGUUUGUAGUGCAAAUAGUUGUUGAAAUGACAAAUUGGAAGAUAACGAUAAGUUUGUUGCAGGAGUUCUUGCUGAUGGCUGAUGCUUGUUCAAAGCCUUGGUACAUGGGGCUUGCUUGAGAAGUGGCCGAGAAGCUCCAGAUAUGAAUCUUGAGGGAGAACUCGUUGAUGACUUAAGAGCUGAAGUGAUGGAUGAGCUGUUAAGGGGGUGGAAUGAUUUUGAUCAAUGGUGAGCUUUUGGGUUUAAGUGACUAAAAAAUUCUUCCACAUCUGUUUAGAGUAUGUAAAGAAAAAUGAAAUCAGUCAGUUGGGAUUAGUCUGAUUUUCUGACCACAAAAUGCCUGCCACGUCAGCGAGUUUCCAUGUCAUCAAAAUGCCUGCCACGUCAGCGAAUUUCCACGUCUCCAAAAUGCCUGCCACGUCAGUGAUGAGUUGACUGCAGUUAACAUUUGCUUGAGUUAAGAGCAAGGGUAUUUUGGGAAUAAUUAAUCCCGUUUUUUUGAAAAACUGUCAUGUCGGACCAAGUAGGAUCAAUUUAUCACCAAUUUAUAAAAGUACGAUCAUUUUGUAACUGUAUUACAAAAAAGUAUGACCAUUUUGUAAAUGGCCCAUUAAUAAUCAGUGUUCCCCUCGUUAACUUCUGUCAGUCUAUGUCCCCAUGGAUCCCAUCAACUCUUCUUUUCUUUUUGUUGUUUGGGUAACGUGGACUACAUCGACUCCUUAGAUAUCUAGCUUAGGUACAGCAACUUUGAUUAUGUUAAGAAUUUUUGCAAG